CUUUUUCUCUUUCAGAUAUCAAACGCUCCUAUGUCAUAUUCGUCUGUUUAAGUGCCUUCACCCAGUUCAUAUCUAAAAUUGUAUUCUUCUGCGCCGUUCCGUCAUGUUGCCACGUCAAGAAAAAAGUUGUUUUGUUCUUUGUUUUGUCCGUUUUUGAAUUAAUGGCAGCUUUCUUGGGAAUUAUUGGCUGCAUCUGCUUCAUCGCCCUGGAAGAUCUGGGAAAUUACCAUACGUCAGAGGACAACGCGGAAUAUCAGUGGUCAUUCAUGCUGGCAUGGAUAUCCAUUGGUCUGUGUUUCGUCGAGUCGUCCAUCUUGGUGAUCCUCGUCAAAGUCUGUUACGAUGAAGUAUUUCAUAGCGACAAGUUCGACUACUAUACAAUGUGAGUGAUAAACGUUACAUUGCGAAGCAAAGGCGAUAGCACCGCAAAAACACCAGCGGCACAUUGGCACUGUAACACACUAUGGCACUCCGGGCACUUCAAAAUAAUAUUAUAUCAAAAUUUUUUUAUGGUUAUUGUAUUUAAUUAUGCUAUGUAAAUGAUGUUGGCGGUCAGAAAGGAAUCAAUAAAAAAGGACUGUAAAAGUAAAAACCAUGACUGCCCCCACCCCAAACUAACAAAACACUAUUGUUAACUAACUAACUUACUAAAAGCAGAAACGAUCACCAACCACAAACCUUCAGGCACCAACACAACCGUUCCACUUCUCCAUGACGUCUCCCACCACCACCACCACCACAAUAAAGAACAACAGCAUUACCUUCACCACCACCAUUACAUAAAAGAACUACAAUAAAGUAAAACCACUGUCACAGUUGACUUUUUCAUCAGUACCAAUGAACCAUUGACAAAUUCUCAUCACUGCAAAAAUUCUCUCUUUCGUCUGUCACUUUUACACAGCACACACGCGCGCGCACACACAGACACGGACAUAGACAGACACACACACAAACAUACACACAUACACAUGAGUAUCAUUAUACAAUGUUCAAAAUUGCUCAAUGAAGACAAAAAAAUUUAAGCAAAACUUUCGUUCCUA